CCCCGACCAUCCGAGCUUCCACAAUACCAUCCGAACUCCUCCAACGGUCGACCUUCCACAGUGUCCUCCAGAUUCCUCCAAUGGACGAACUCCUAUCGUACCCUUCGGGCUUCUCCAAUAAUGAGCUCCUUCAGUCGUUUAUCGAACUGCUCUAAAUACUCUCUGAGCUUCACUAUUAGUCGAUUUUCUACAGUUUUUGACUACUCUCCGAAUCUCUUCCAGACUUCCUCCUGUCAUGAUUGACUUUACUCCGAGCUUCUUCCGGACUUCGUCAAUGUCCGGACUUCUCCAGCGGCAGGACUUCUACAAUAAGCAGUCUCCAUCCGAGCUUCUACGGCAACUG
rnacentral:lncRNA from 1 species